rnacentral:rRNA from 1 species
GACGAACGCUGGCGGCGUGCUUAACACAUGCAAGUCGUACGGUAAGGCCCUUUCGGGGGUACACGAGUGGCGAACGGGUGAGUAACACGUGAGUAACCUGCCCACAACUUUGGGAUAACGCUAGGAAACUGGUGCUAAUACUGGAUAUGUGCUCCUGCUGCAUGGUGGGGGUUGGAAAGCUCCGGCGGUUGUGGAUGGACUCGCGGCCUAUCAGCUUGUUGGUGGGGUAGUGGCCUACCAAGGCGGCGACGGGUAGCCGGCCUGAGAGGGUGACCGGCCACAUUGGGACUGAGAUACGGCCCAGACGCCUACGGGAGGAAGCAGUGGGGAAUAUUGCACAAUGGGCGCAAGCCUGAUGCAGCAACGCCGCGUGCGGGAUGACGGCCUUCGGGUUGUAAACCGCUUUCAGCAGGGACGAAGCUUUUUGUGACGGUACCUGCAGAAGAAGCACCGGCUAACUACGUG